rnacentral:piRNA from 1 species
UGCCUUUGUGCAGGAUGAAGCCCUAUGGA